rfam:Pan troglodytes isolate Yerkes chimp pedigree #C0471 (Clint) chromosome 1, whole genome shotgun sequence.
GUGGGGCUCAAUGGAGCAGGCCUGUAGUCCCAGCUCCUGGAGAGGCUGAGACAAGAGGGUUGCAUGAUCCCAGGAGUUCUAGGCUGCAGUGUGCUAUUCCAAUCUGGUGUCCACACUAAGUUCAGCAUUAAUAUGGUGACCUUCCGGGAGCAGAGGACCAGCGAAUUGCCUAAGGAGGGGUGAGUUGGCCCAGGGUAGAAACAGAGCAGGUCAAAACUCCCAUGCUUGAAGUGGGAUUACUCCUAUGAAUGGCCACUGCAUUCCAGCCUGGACAAUAUAGCAAGACCUCAUCUCUU